ACAUGUUUUCUGCUAUUGUUGC
rnacentral:siRNA from 1 species